rnacentral:rRNA from 1 species
CGGCGUGCCUAAUACAUGCAAGUCGAGCGAGCGGAACCAACAGAUUUACUUCGGUAAUGACGUUGGAAAGCGAGCGGCGGAUGGGUGAGUAACACGUGGGGAACCUGCCCCUAAGUCUGGGAUACCAUUUGGAAACAGGUGCUAAUACCGGAUAAUAAAGCAGAUCGCAUGAUCAGCUUUUGAAAGGCGGCGUAAGCUGUCGCUAAGGGAUGGCCCCGCGGUGCAUUAGCUAGUUGGUAAGGUAACGGCUUACCAAGGCGACGAUGCAUAGCCGAGUUGAGAGACUGAUCGGCCACAUUGGGACUGAGACACGGCCCAAACUCCUACGGGAGGCAGCAGUAGGGAAUCUUCCACAAUGGGCGCAAGCCUGAUGGAGCAACACCGCGUGAGUGAAGAAGGGUUUCGGCUCGUAAAGCUCUGUUGUUGGAGAAGAACGUGCGUGAGAGUAACUGUUCACGCAGUGACGGUAUCCAACCAGAAAGUCACGGCUAACUACGUG